AGCGAACGCUGGCGGCAGGCCUAACACAUGCAAGUCGAACGAACUCUUCGGAGUUAGUGGCGGACGGGUGAGUAACACGUGGGAACGUGCCUUUAGGUUCGGAAUAACUCAGGGAAACUUGUGCUAAUACCGAAUGUGCCCUUCGGGGGAAAGCUUUAUCGCCUUUAGAGCGGCCCGCGUCUGAUUAGCUAGUUGGUGAGGUAAAGGCUCACCAAGGCGACGAUCAGUAGCUGGUCUGAGAGGAUGUUCAGCCACAUUGGGACUGAGACACGGCCCAAACUCCUACGGGAGGCAGCAGUGGGGAAUCUUGCGCAAUGGGCGAAAGCCUGACGCAGCCAUGCCGCGUGAACGAUGAAGGUCUUAGGAUUGUAAAAUUCUUUCACCGGGGACGAUAAUGACGGUACCCGGAGAAGAAGCCCCGGCUAACUUCGUGCCAGCCGCCGCAGUAA
rnacentral:rRNA from 1 species